UACGUAGGGGGCGAGCGUUGUCCGGAUUUAUUGGGCGUAAAAGGCUUGUAGGCGGCCACCGCGCGGUCGGCUGUGAAAUCUCCCGGCUCAACUGGGGGGGGUCAGGCGAUACGGCGGGGCUCGAGGCCGGGUAGGGGGACGCGGAAUUCCGGGGUGUGAGUGGGUGGGAAUGGCGUAGAGAUCCGGAGGAACACCAGCGGCGAAGGCGGCAUCCUGGACUGGUACUGACGCUCAUGAGCGAAAGCGUGGGGGAGCGAGUCCGG
rnacentral:rRNA from 1 species